UGGAGAUUAGUUGCGCAGCGGGGACAGGCGUGGGUUAAUUUGAAAUAGAAGUGAAGGGUUAUUUGUAAAAAUAUGACGUGGAGCGACCGUUGAAACUGGUGCUUUAAUAUAGUUGUCACACCCGGGUUUUAGGGACCCGGACGCGAAAUAAUCACCAAGUGUGCUAGGAUCAAAUCUCACACAUAUGAUUACUCAUGGUAUAGAAAUGAAUGCCACAUAUUUACUAUACAAUAGGAGUUCUGUACAAAUUAAAUAAAUAAUUACAUCAUACGCAGACAUCGAUCCAGCAACCAAAGUUGACUAGGAGACGAUGGCCUAGACCACUCACGAACUCGUCACGGCAUCCUUCAUGCGCCUCAUCUUGUGGUACCUGUUCUUGGACCUGGGGAUGUGAGUACAGCAAAGGUGAGCUCACAUACGUUCAUCGCUCAACAAGUUGUGGGGAAUAAUGAGCAUGAACUCACCAAAGGUAGGAGCUCAUGUGAAGUGUAAGGCUUACCAAAGGAGAUGGUUACAGCUGAACAUUGCUUUUAAAGUUGGUCAAAAUUGUAUUAGCAGUUACUAAGUAGAUACCAAACCAAAAAGUAUGAGAUCAAAUUGAUAACAACACUCGCGAUGCAAUGCAUAUGAUAGAUUAAAUUUAGUUCCAUAAAUUAAUUAUGCGAGAGUCCUGAGCUGCUCAUGACCGCGAGCACGGCUAAUAUACCAGUUUUACACUGCAGAGGUUGCACCCUUUACCCCACAAGUCGUGUAUCCCAUCUAGCUAGGGUUAGCUAGACCCUUAGACACUUUCGAGGUGAAUGGCUAGGGAUCCACUACGAGGCCUUUACAAAGUUCCACUAGCUUUAGGAAACCCGCUACAGUUUCUAGAAAGGGUAUUGGAAUCCCUCGUCCGAAAAGCCAUCGCAGCAUGAUCGACCUGAGAACCUCCCUAUAUGUAACUCCCCUAGUGCCCUUGCCCCUUUCGGGUAAGGUAGUCCUCCACUAGCUUUCCUAAUUAGUCAGCCAAGGGUGUCCCAUUCCACCCUUGUGGUAGCACGUGUUUCUCAAGUUAAGCUCCAUGUUCCAAUUAACACAAUGAUCUUGUCAUGAACAAUAAUUAAAAAACACUAUAAUUGGAACAUGAUCAUAAUGUAAUAUUAAUCCCAAAACCAGGUAGAGCAAUAGCAAAACUACCCAAAAGUUCAGUGGCAUACAAGGUGUGGGAUAAACAAGUCUAGGGAAACCUAUUAGGUCCCAUUAGAUUAACCUGUGCAUGUCACAUUGAUUAACCGGAACAUUAUUGGGUAAAGAAAAGUGACCAAGGGCACAACUUGCCUUAGACUUGAGAUUCUCAGGUACAAGGAUGAUCUUCAGAUUCUCGCGACCUCACUGCUAUUCGUAGCAAUACAAACAAACAUUAGGCAAAAUUAACAUCACACCAAACAUAAGAACAAAAUGCAUAAUAAUGUUCUACACGAUGCUACAAGAUCGUGGGUUUGAAAACCACUAAAAUCGGAGUUACGGUUAAAGAGUUAUGAUUUUCUGAAGUUUGAAGUGUUAGAUAUAGAAUAAAUUAAGUGCAUAAAUUUAAUCUAUACCUCAUGACAAAACAGGGUUAUCAAAGGAUAAACAAUAUUAAUAUAAAUUUAAUGCAACUGAAAUGAAUCAAAAAGGUGUUAGAAUAAAUUAAAUAUGAAUUAAACAAGUUUCUGUAAUUAUUUUUAUACUAAAAAUCAUUUUCUUUAUUAAUUUUAAUUAUUUUAUUUAAUUUUUGGGCUGCGGCCACUAUUUCAGAAGAGUCUAGGGUUUAUUUUGUAAAUUCUAGGACUUAAGUGUGUUGAUCUUUCUAUACCCGAGGAUGGUGGGUUGUUUUUGUAAGAGCAUAGGGUCUCUUAUGGAAAAGGUCUCGGCCGAAAGGGUAUGGAUGUUUCCUAGCCAUUGGAUCCAAAAUCGAGGGUCCGGAUUAGAUCAGUCUUUAAGUGAAUGGACACACGAUAUGGACCGCCAGAUCUAAAUCCAAGGGUCAGGAUCUUAUUAAUUUAGAUCUAAUCGUACCCAUUCACAGCCAAUCCAACGGCUUGGAUUGCUUUAAAAGAAGCGGUAUGCUCAAACUAAUCUGGGCUGCCCAUCUAUGGAUCCACGGCCCCACGUCUUCUCCCAACAGCCGCGCGAGGCGGCGGCACGCACGGUCCCAUGGCGGCGCAUCACCGGCGCAUGACAUGCUCGUCGCCCGGUGCACCCAUUCCAAGCGCCGACCAAUGCUACCAGAUCUAUGAAGAAAAGUGCAUCAAUUACCGUGGAUCUUACCAGAGGUAAAGGUGUCCAAGUGUGGCCUAUGGAGGAAAGCGGCUCCAUGCGGAGUACGAUAGUCGACGAGAAAUUCCAGCGCACCAAUCCACCACCGCGCCUGAGGAAGCCACGCCCAGGUUCCUAGUGCCCUAGCAGUCUUCCUCGACCACUAGCUAGUUCUCGAGCGCCGAUGUGAAGUGAUCCCAACGACGGCGGUCUUCACCAUAAUCCAUGGCUUCGCUCGAUUCUCAGUGGCGAAUUCCCCAUUGCCUGGGUUUUUGCUGUCCUGCGAGUUGAUGAAACCACGACGCUUGCGGUCGCGUUUAUAUGCGCGUGGGCAGAGUCCAUGCGAUGCAGGUGGUUUGCUACUGAAUCACACGAUUACAGGUGGGGUUGUUACCAGCUCAUUGAUGCGUUUUGCAGGGAGCCAGGAAGAAGCCGACUGCCUGCAUGGCCCCAUG
rnacentral:lncRNA from 1 species